AGACUCCCUUUUUUUGUAGCACUGGAGAACUUCAUUGAACAGUGAAGAACAAAAUCUUGGAUUCUAUUUAGUCUCGGGCGAGACUGUGGAAACAGAGACAGGGUAGUCUGACCUUGGAAAAGGGCUAUAAUCCAGUGUCUUUAUAGAGAUGAGGAAGCAGCUUUGACAAGCAGAAGUUAAACCCUAGAUGGUCCAGGACUAUCUAGCCAUUGCUUAAUCUUCUUAAUAUGGUAAUCAGGGUAGCCGGUUUUGGAAAGUUAUUUACUGUUGUUGUUGCCUUUGACAAGCAGCAGGGAGAAGAAUCCUUCUCCUUAGAAGAUCCCUUUUUUGAAAGGAGAGUCAAACAGUGA
rnacentral:lncRNA from 1 species